rnacentral:rRNA from 1 species
ACGGAAUAGAUACCCCGGUAGUCCACGCCCUAAACGAUGUCUACUAGUUGUUGGGAGAGUAAAAUCUCUUAGUAAACGCAGCUAAACGCGUGAAGUAGACCGCCUGGGGAGUACGGUCGCAAGAUUAAACUACAAAGGAAUUGACGGGGGCCCGCACAAGCGGUGGAUUAUGUGGAUUAAUUCGAUGCAACGCGAAAAACCUUAACCUGGCCUUGACAUGCUACUAACGAAGCAGAGAUGCAUUAGGUGCCCGAAAGGGAAAGUAGACACAGGUGCUGCAUGGCUGUCGUCAGCUCGUGUCGUGAGAUGUUGGGUUAAGUCCCGCAACGAGCGCAACCCUUGCCAAUAAUUGCCAUCAUUUAGUUGGGCACUUUAUUGGGACUGCCGGUGACAAACCGGAGGAAGGUGGGGAUGACGUC